rnacentral:rRNA from 1 species
GACGAACGCUGGCGGCGUGCCUAAUACAUGCAAGUCGAACGCAGUGGGGACGGGUGAGUAACACGUGGGUAACCUCCCAUCAGAGGGGAUAACACUUGGAAACAGGUGCCAAACGGAUACUGCUGGUUGGACCCGCGGUGCAUUAGCUAGGUGGUGAGGUAACGGUUCACCAAGGCGACGAUCCGUAGCCGGCCUGAGAGGAUGAUCGGCCACACGGGAACUGAGACACGGCCCAGACUCCUACGGGAGGCAGCAGUGGGGAAUCUUCGGCAAUGGGCGAAAGUCUGAUCGAGCAACGCCGCGUGAGUGAAGAAGGUUUUCGGAUCGUAUAACUCUGUUGUUAGGGAAGCGGUAUCUAACCAAAAAGCCACGGCUAACUACGUGCCAGCCGCCGCGGUAAUAC